UGGCAGGACAAUGGCCCACAUGUUUCCUAGUCUAUUAUCAGGAAACUAAGGAACCAAUAUUGAAGAAGUCUCAGAAUCAAAACAAAAGCCUAAGAAGUCUACAAAGCUGGAGCAAUGACUGAUGUAAAAGGAUUGUGUGAGAUCAACUCCAGUGUGCUAUUCUCAGCUUACAAAGGCUAUUUUACCUUUUGUUGAUUGGGGUCUCAGAGACAAGAGGGGAAACUGAUGGAAGACAGAAAGGAAAAAAAACCAGCUCUAUCUCUACCCUUACCUCACCUGAACUGGGUUGAAAGCAACAACACAGUCACAGGUGUUUUGGAUUGUGGGUCAGGGCCCAGUUUGGGGGGGCUUUAAGUGGGGGAUGGAGUCUUAUGUUGGGAACUUGUAUAUAUUGCCUGUUUGCUGCCUAGUCAGGCAGCACUUCUUAGCCCAUCAUGGGAGGACUCUCUUUCAUGAAGGGAAUAAACAACUGCCUCUUUUUACUCCUGCCUUCUGAUUCCAGAUUUUGUUUAUUUGAGAAAGUCAUCAUUUUUAUCUCACACAGGAUCAAUAUCACAGAGUUUUCUGCCACUCCUUAUAGUACUUUCCAGGAGAAGUCCAAGGAGUGAUGAACUGGAGGAUUUCUAUAUGAACUGGAAAGACCUCCAAGAACUGAUGCAGAGCUAAAUGAGAAGAACCAAGAGAACAUUGUACACAUUGUACACACAGAAAGUGAAAUAUUGUGGAAUUAUCCAAUGUAAUGGACUUUACUAGUAGUAGCAAUACAAUAAUCCAGGAUAUUCCUGAAGGACUUAUGAGAAAUAAUGCUAUCCACAUAAAGAGAAAGAACUAUGGGAAUAGAAAUGCAAAAGAAAAACUUAUGGCAUGAUUUAUGACUUGUUUAUAUGGAUAUAUGAUUUGGAAUUUUAGUUCUAUGGUAAAAAAUGAAUAAUAUGGAAAUAGGUAUCAAGUGAUAACAUUUGUACAGCCCAGUAGAAUUGCUUAGCAACUCUGGGAGAUGAGAGGGAAAGAAAAUUAAUCAUGGAAAUAUGGAAAAAAUAUUUUUAAAAAUAAAAAUAAAAUGCUUUUAAAUAA
rnacentral:lncRNA from 1 species